rnacentral:rRNA from 1 species
UACGUAGGUGGCGAGCGUUAUCCGGAUUUAUUGGGCGUAAAGCGUGCGCAGGCGGUUUAUUAAGUCUAGGAUUAAAGCCCGGAGCUUAACUCCGGUUCGUCUUAGAAACUGGUAGACUUGAGUAUGGUAGAGGCAAAUGGAAUUCCUAGUGUAGCGGUGGAAUGCGUAGAUAUUAGGAGGAACACCAGUAGCGAAGGCGGCCUGCUGGGCUUUUACUGACGCUGAGGCUCGAAAGUGUGGGGAGCAAACAGG